rnacentral:pre_miRNA from 1 species
AGUACAAUUGCUGGGCUGUAUGGUGACUGCAUGGUUAAUUUUAGAAGAAAUUCCUAAACUGUUUUCUAGAAUGGUUGUACCAUUUUACAUUCCCAUCAGCAAU